AGUGAACGCUGGCGGUAGGCCUAACACAUGCAAGUCGAACGGCAGCACAGUAAGAGCUUGCUCUUACGGGUGGCGAGUGGCGGACGGGUGAGGAAUACAUCGGAAUCUACUUUUUCGUGGGGGAUAACGUAGGGAAACUUACGCUAAUACCGCAUACGACCUACGGGUGAAAGCAGGGGAUCUUCGGACCUUGCGCGAUUGAAUGAGCCGAUGUCGGAUUAGCUAGUUGGCGGGGUAAAGGCCCACCAAGGCGACGAUCCGUAGCUGAUCUGAGAGGAUGAUCAGCCACACUGGAACUGAGACACGGUCCAGACUCCUACGGGAGGCAGCAGUGGGGAAUAUUGGACAAUGGGCGCAAGCCUGAUCCAGCCAUACCGCGUGGGUGAAGAAGGCCUUCGGGUUGUAAAGCCCUUUUGUUGGGAAAGAAAAGCAGCAGGUUAAUACCCCGCUGUUCUGACUGUACCCAAAGAAUAAGCACCGGCUAACUUCGUG
rnacentral:rRNA from 1 species